rnacentral:rRNA from 1 species
AACCCUAAAUACUCUCUAGUGACCGAUAGUGAACCAGUACCGUGAGGGAAAGGUGAAAAGCACCCCGGGAGGGGAGUGAAAUAGAACCUGAAACCGUGUGCCUACAACAAGUUCGAGCCCGUUAAUGGGUGAGAGCGUGCCUUUUGUAGAAUGAACCGGCGAGUUACGAUAUGAUGCGAGGUUAAGUUGAAGAUACGGAGCCGUAGGGAAACCGAGUCUUAAUAGGGCGCAUUAGUAUCAUGUCGUAGACCCGAAACCAUGUGACCUACCCAUGAGCAGGGUGAAGGUGAGGUAAAACUCACUGGAGGCCCGAACCAGGGCACGUUGAAAAGUGCUUGGAUGACUUGUGGGUAGCGGAGAAAUUCCAAACGAACUUGGAGAUAGCUGGUUCUCUCCGAAAUAGCUUUAGGGCUAGCGUCGAUGUUAAGUCUCUUGGAGGUAGAGCACUGUUUGAUUGAGGGGUCCAUCCCGGAUUACCAAUAUCAGAUAAACUCCGAAUGCCAAUGAGAUAUAAUCGGCAGUCAGACUGCGAGUGCUAAGAUCCGUAGUCGAAAGGGAAACAGCCCAGACCACCAGCUAAGGUCCCAAAAUAUAUGUUAAGUGGAAAAGGAUGUGGGGUUGCACAGACAACUAGGAUGUUAGCUUAGAAGCAGCUAUUCAUUCAAAGAGUGCGUAAUAGCUCACUAGUCGAGUGACCCUGCGCCGAAAAUGUACCGGGGCUAAAACAUAUUACCGAAGCUGUGGAUACCUUUUAGGUAUGGUAGGAGAGCGUUCUAUGUGUGAAGAAGGUGUACCGUGAGGAGCGCUGGAACGCAUAGAAGUGAGAAUGCCGGUAUGAGUAGCGAAAGACAGGUGAGAAUCCUGUCCACCGUAUGACUAAGGUUUCCAGGGGAAGGCUCGUCCUCCCUGGGUUAGUCGGGACCUAAGGAGAGACCGAAAGGUGUAUCCGAUGGACAACAGGUUGAUAUUCCUGUACUAGAGUAUAUAGUGAUGGAGGGACGCAGUAGGCUAACUAAAGCGUGCGAUUGGAAGUGCACGUCUAAGCAGUGAGGUGUGAUAUGAGUCAAAUGCUUAUAUCUCUAACAUUGAGCUGUGAUGGGGAGCGAAGUUAAGUAGCGAAGUUAGUGAUGUCACACUGCCAAGAAAAGCUUCUAGCGUUAAUUAUACUCUACCCGUACCGCAAACCGACACAGGUAGUCGAGGCGAGUAGCCUCAGGUGAGCGAGAGAACUCUCGUUAAGGAACUCGGCAAAAUGGCCCCGUAACUUCGGGAGAAGGGGCGCUGGCUUUAAGUCAGCCGCAGUGAAUAGGCCCAAGCAACUGUUUAUCAAAAACACAGCUCUCUGCUAAAUCGUAAGAUGAUGUAUAGGGGGUGACGCCUGCCCGGUGCUGGAAGGUUAAGAGGAGCGCUUAGCAUUAGCGAAGGUGUGAAUUGAAGCCCCAGUAAACGGCGGCCGUAACUAUAACGGUCCUAAGGUAGCGAAAUUCCUUGUCGGGUAA